rnacentral:rRNA from 1 species
GAUGAACGCUGGCGGCGUGCCUAAUACAUGCAAGUCGAGCGAACAGAUGAGGAGCUUGCUCCUCUGACGUUAGCGGCGGACGGGUGAGUAACACGUGGAUAACCUACCUAUAAGACUGGGAUAACUUCGGGAAACCGGAGCUAAUACCGGAUAAUAUAUUGAACCGCAUGGUUCAAUAGUUAAAGACGGUUUUGCUGUCACUUAUAGAUUGAUCCGCGCCGCAUUAGCUAGUUGGUAAGGUAACGGCUUACCAAGGCAACGAUGCGUAGCCGACCUGAGAGGGUGAUCGGACACACUGGAACUGAGACACGGUCCAGACUCCUACGGGAGGCAGCAGUAGGGAAUCUUCCGCAAUGGGCGAAAGCCUGACGGAGCAACGCCGCGUGAGGGAUGAAGGUCUUCGGAUCGUAAAACUCUGUUAUUAGGGAAGAACAAAUGUGUAAGUAACUAUGCACGUCUUGACGGUACCUAAUCAGAAAGCCACGGCUAACUACGUG